rnacentral:rRNA from 1 species
AGUGAACGCUGGCGGUAGGCCUAACACAUGCAAGUCGAACGGCAGCACAGUAAGAGCUCGCUCUUACGGGUGGCGAGUGGCGGACGGGUGAGGAAUACAUCGGAAUCUACUUUUUCGUGGGGGACAACGUAGGGAAACUUAUGCUAAUACCGCAUACGACCUACGGGUGAAAGCAGGGGAUCUUCGCACCUUGCGCGACUGAAUGAGCCGAUGUCGGAUUAGCUAGUUGGCGAGGUAAAGGCCCACCAAGGCGACGAUCCGUAGCUGGUCUGAGAGGAUGAUCAGCCACACUGGAACUGAGACACGGUCCAGACUCCUACGGGAGGCAGCAGUGGGGAAUAUUGGACAAUGGGCGCAAGCCUGAUCCAGCCAUGCCGCGUGGGUGAAGAAGGCCUUCGGGUUGUAAAGCCCUUUUGUUGGGGAAGAAAAGCAGCAGGUUAAUACCCCGCUGUUCUGACGGUACCCAAAGAGUAAGCACCGGCUAACUUCGUG